CCUACGGGGGGCAGCAGUGGGGAAUAUUGCACAAUGGGCGCAAGCCUGAUGCAGCCAUGCCGCGUGAGUGAAGAAGGCCUUAGGGUUGUAAAGCCCUUUCACCGGUGAAGAUAAUGACGGUAACCGGAGAAGAAGCCCCGGCUAACUCCGUGCCAGCAGCCGCGGUAAUACGGAGGGUGCAAGCGUUAAUCGGAAUUACUGGGCGUAAAGGGCGCGUAGGCGGUUUAUGCAGUCAGAUGUGAAAUCCCCGGGCUUAACCUGGGAACUGCAUUUGAGACGCAUAGACUAGAGGUCGAGAGAGGGUUGUGGAAUUCCCAGUGUAGAGGUGAAAUUCGUAGAUAUUGGGAAGAACACCGGUGGCGAAGGCGGCAACCUGGCUCGAUACUGACGCUGAGGCGCGAAAGCGUGGGGAGCAAACAGGAUUAGAUACCCGGGUAGUC
rnacentral:rRNA from 1 species